GCCCCUUCACUCUGCCUGUGACGUAUUAGUGACCUCUGAGCUAGAGUCUUGUAGUCACUUCCUGGUGACCCCUGACCCCGUUGAUUUCCGUCGGCUAGGUUGCUCUCACCCAUGGCGUUUGCUGGUUAUGAGAUUUGCGGAACGUGUGGUGGUGGUAAAGGGCACCAACUGUUGUCAACCUGCAUGUGGGGGUCUGAGGUCUGGCUCUACAGCUUGUAAAAUGGAAAUAAUAAUAAUGCCCAGAGGAUGAAAUUAGGCCACAUAGGCCGCUUGGCAUCAUAACCCUGCACUCAUUGGAUCAGCUGACUACCUAGACCGGUAACCUGGCUCAAUCAGUUCUGCCAUUACACCCAGGAACAGAAAACAGCAAGAAAACCUCACUUCGACUCCCUGUGAUUCCGUCUUCAACCUGACCAAUCAGCACUCCCCGCUUCCCAAGCUCCUACUCGCCAAAUUAUCUUUAAGAACUCUGAUCCUCAAAUGCUCAGGGAGACUAAUUUGUGUAAUAAUAAAACUCUGGUCUCCCACACAGCUGGCUCUGCGUGAAUUACUCUUUCUCCAUUGCAA
rnacentral:lncRNA from 1 species